CAAAGAUCAAAACAAGAGAACAAGACUGAAAGAGAAAACAGUUGAAAGAGUUUCAUUUUCAUCGUUCUUCAAGAAGAGUCAGUUUCUGACGGUCGGUACAGUCUUAAGAAUUCAUCAUGGGAACAGAGAAAAGACUGAUCGCAAGACUCAAAGAAGACUUUGGACACAGCCCUGUCGUGGCAAAUGUGGUUUUUGCCUUCAUCAUGGCUGCUGUGGAGAAGAUAGUGGAGGUGGAAUUUGCUUGCCCUUGUGAUCCGAAAUGGAACAAAGUGUUUUCUGCGGCAUGUUUCAUAAUUCCUGCCUGCAUAGCUUUUCUGAUGAUGCUCAUAAUACACAAAUGCAGGUCUCAAAAUCAUUCUCCAAAAUGGGUAUACAGCAUUCUUCCUCCCUUGAUAUGGCAGGUUCUGCUUUUCCUUGAUGGCCAAUACCUUGUCUGUGCAAUGACAGACUGGCCUGGCAAAUUUGUCUCUGUUGACAAUACUUAUCUGAAGUGGUGCACACCAGCCAACACAACAAGUCACAGAUCAGAAGAACUCAUGGCUCUGUCACAAAGACUGUUUGUCUUGUCUCAGGGGAUUGGAUUUGGUCUGCUCACAUUAUUAUCCGGGCUUCUCCUUGGAUACGUCAUAAUGAAGUGCCUCCGAAAACACGACUUAAGAGCUCCUGAUUCUGAACAGACUGGACAUUAACAAUCAAAAAUACAAGAUCCUGAAGGAAUGGAAGAAUGAAGCACGUUGUAUUUCAGUAUGAGAUAUGUCUUGUUACGCAGACAGAGACAGAAAGAGCAUCUUCAAAAACAAAAGUGAUCAGGAAAAAAUAUUACUAUGUAUCAGUCACUUCAUCCGUCAACGUUUCUCCCUAAUUUUGUAUUUCCCCCUGUUUUAUGCUACAGUUUCAAGCAGACGAACAGUGUCUGGCAGGUGAAUGGUGCUGGAGAGCAAAACAGAGAUAGAGAGAGAGUAAACGGUGGAAUCCAGUGGGAUCGUCCUAUCAUGUUGCUCUGUGUCUGCUGGAUGUAUAAGAGCGUUUGCUAACAUGUUAGCCAUAGCCAAGUGAUCAUGAGUCAGGCCUGUGUUUCUUGGCCACCUUGUUUUGGAGGGUUUUUUUCUUUUUGUCUUACAGUAGCCAAAUAAUCAACAGAAAUCCAACUGUACUAAUCCAGACAUUAUGGAUAAACACUGUUUAUCCAUAAUGUCUGGUCUGGUCUGUUUUGUACAUAUUUGUAGUCAGUAAUAAUAAGUAAAUUGUGUUAAAUGUUUUCAUACAUGAUGCAUAUGUGUAAAGAUGACACGAGCAAUGUGAAACUGUUUUUUAAUUGUUCAUGUGUAGUUGCAACACAACACAUACUGCUGUGACUCUUGAGAUGACAACAGUGUACAUCCUGUCCUUUACCACAUCCUGCAUCAUAUAAUUCUGCAUGUAUGAGUUCAGAUACACAAUGAAGCAGCAGAGCAAAAAAAAAAAAAAAAAACAGAAAAAAGUAAGCUGAGUUGUUUGAAUAAAUGAAAAAUUAGUUAUUGUGUUUUGCUUAAUAAUAGAAAAACAAAAGCUAGAAAUGCUAUGCAAACCUCUGUAUUGUAUAUAACGGGUCCACAUCUGAUUUUUAUUCAAGGUCAGAGGACCAGAUCAAUUGGAAAUAACAAAAUAAGAUUUAAGGAAUUAGUCAACUGUGAACAGUUCCUCUGGAAAUUUUUGUCAUUACAAAUUAGGCGGCAGAUGUGCUAAUGUUCCACAUUUUCUCACAUGUUGGUCUGCACUCAGACUUUCAACUGACACCUCACUUAACCAAGAGUCCACAGCAACAGGAUCGGACUCAUUCUUUUAUGUAAAGAUCGAGCCAGUUGCAACCGAUUUGGGAGACAGCUGGUGCUUCAUUUUGUUGCUGAAAUUCCAAAAGCGAGAAUAUGCUGCUUCAGUGGGUCAUUUACAGCGUUUUUGACUCUGGACUAAAGUUCUGUUUGACCUUCAUAAAUAAAUUUAUUAGGAUGAUAUAAACAAGAAGCUACAGUAUAACAACUUGAUGAGGAAAGAAGAAGAGUUAACAAAAGGUAAUGAAAGGUAACUCCCAAGAUAGAAGCAGGCGUGCAGAAAUCAAAGCGGAAGACUGUGAGAGAGAAUACAUGAAAUAGUUUCACUUUCACACAUUCCUCUUGAAGAAGAGUACAUUCGUCACAGUAUCCUCAGGCUCAAUCUUAAGAUUGAAAAUGGACCCGAGACAAUCCUGGAUCUCCAGUAUCAAAAGUGCAAUUAAGGAAAGCCCUGUUGUGUCAAAUUGGGUUUUUAGCAUCAUCCUUACUUGCUUGGAGAAGUUAGUGGAAAUGGAGUUUACAUGCCCUUGCAAACCUCAAUAUAAUGCUUGGUUUGCAGCUGCAUUUUUUGUUCUUCCAGCAUUUCUGGCGUUUCUGCUGAUGAUGAACAUUCAAGAAUGUUGGAGGAAGAAGUCUUUAGAACUUUUGAAAGCAGUGUUUUAUAGCCUUGGCCCUGUCAUAACUUGGCUCAUCCUGGUGUUCCUGGAUGGCCACUACUACGUCUGUGCAAAGACCUUCUGGUCAGGCACGUUUGUAAUUGAUGCUGAAGCUGCUCCUAAAAAAUGGUGCGAACCAGCCAACCACACCUCAUCACAGGAGUAUAUGAUCAAGACUCAAAGAUGGUUUUUUCGCUCUCAGGGCAUCGGAGUGGCGAUUGCAACAGUCCUUGUGUUCAUCUUUGCACUAUAUCUAAUGUGGAAGUGCUACAAAAUGAAAGAAAACCAAGAGGGUGCAGGUCCUUCAAAAGUCGAGUGUCCCAAGGGCACUUACUCACCCUGUCAAGACAGGGACAAUUCAGAGCCGGAUGUGCCGAGUGUCCAGAGUGAUUCAGCAGUUUGAAAAGAAAAUGGAUACCACUUCAAAAAUGGAGAAUACCGAAGGGUUUGAAAUGAUGAUGUGGAAAACAUGGAAGUGGAUAAGGGUACUUGUAGUGCCACGUCAAACAUUUUGUGAAUAAAUUUGUUUUUGCGACGCAAAACUACAUCAUGAGGAAAUUAAGAUUUGUUUUACUGUAAUGCAGAUUUUUUUUUUAAUAUUUAAAAACCGUUGAAUGUGUAAAAAAAAAAAUUAAAAAAUGGAUAAAUAAAACUGCAACACAUUUCGAUCAUCAUAGUUUGCUCCUGAAUUGUUCAUAAAAUAAAUGUAAAUAAAUAAUCAAUAAUCGUGAAGUCCAUCAUAUUUUUAUGUGUUAUGUUUAAGAAUGAAAUAGGAAAUUCCUGUUAUUUUAAUAUGUCAACAUCUACUUUACAUGAAUGCCUGACUAAAGCAAGGUCUGUAAACAUAAGAGUUUUGUUUUUUUUUUUGGUUCUUGUUUAUUUCAUAAUUCCAAGCAAAAACUGUCAAGCUAAAAUUUCUGGCAACAUUUUAUAUUAAGGUACACACAUUCACCAUUAAACAGUUGUUUACUAUCAUGAAUAUUAGUAGCAGAGUGGCCCUUUGUUCGUCAUUAUGCCCUUAUUAAUGCAUUUUCUGGUACAGGGGUUAGUGUUAUUUAUGGAUAGUUUACUAAGAUCAGAAUUCAUGUAAAACAACUUCCAUACUUAAUAUCAACAAGCAGUGAUUUGGAGGUUACCGAGGGAAAACUAUUAGUUAAUUGCCUAGUAGUUGUUGAAUAUGAUCAUGCAGAUUUAGACAUUAAUAACUGUUUUAUAAUGUCUAAUAAAGGGCCAAUAUGCUUCUAAUAAGCAUGCAGAUAAGCAAUUAGUUAAUGGUGAAUAUGUGUACUUUAAAAUGAAUGUAUAUAUGUAUACAAUGUCUUACUAUAUUUCCUGUAACCAGUCACAGUGCAUUUUUUAGCAAAGUUUUGUGAUGCAUUUACCAUCUACGUGACACUUUGAUCCUUGUGUGUGGGAGAUUUAAAAUGUCUAAUAAAAAACAA